rnacentral:rRNA from 1 species
GAGUAACACGUAUGCAACCUGCCCCUGUCAGGGGGACAACCCGCCGAAAGGCGGGCUAAACCCGCGUACAUGCCACCGGGGCAUCCCGGAGGCAGGAAAGGCUUCGGCCGGACAGGGAUGGGCAUGCGGCGCAUUAGGCAGUAGGCGGGGUAACGGCCCACCUAACCGACGAUGCGUAGGGGUUCUGAGAGGAAGGUCCCCCACACUGGUACUGAGACACGGACCAGACUCCUACGGGAGGCAGCAGUGAGGAAUAUUGGUCAAUGGUCGGGAGACUGAACCAGCCAAGCCGCGUGAGGGAUGAAGGUACAGAGUAUCGUAAACCUCUUUUGUCAGGGAACAAAGGCGGGGACGUGUCCCCGGAUGAGUGUACCUGAAGAAAAAGCAUCGGCUAACUCCGUGCCAGCAGCCGCGGUAAUACGGAGGAUGCGAGCGUUAUCCGGAUUUAUUGGGUUUAAAGGGUGCGCAGGCGGUCUGUUAAGUCAGCGGUCAAAGCCCGGGGCUCAACCCCGGCCCGCCGUUGAAACUGGCAGUCUCGAGUUGGAGAGAAGUAUGCGGAAUGCGCGGUGUAGCGGUGAAAUGCAUAGAUAUCGCGCAGAACUCCGAUUGCGAAGGCAGCAUGCCGGCUCCACACUGACGCUGAGGCACGAAAGCGUGGGUAUCGAACAGGAUUAGAUACCCUGGUAGUCCACGCAGUAAACGAUGAAUGCUG